rnacentral:rRNA from 1 species
CCUACGGGUGGCAGCAGUGAGGAAUAUUGGUCAAUGGACGGAAGUCUGAACCAGCCAUGCCGCGUGCAGGAUGACUGCCCUAUGAGUUGUAAACUUCUUUUGUACAGGGGUAAACCUGAAUACGUGUAUUCCGCUGAAAGUACUUUACGAAUAAGGAUCGGCUAACUCCGUGCCAGCAGCCGCGGUAAUACGGAGGAUCCAAGCGUUAUCCGGAUUUAUUGGGUUUAAAGGGUGCGUAGGCGGAUUGAUAAGUUAGAUGUGAAAUGUCCGAGCUUAACUCGGGAACUGCCUCUAAUACUGGUGAUCUAGAGAGUAGAUGAGGUAGGCGGAAUGUAUGGUGUAGCGGUGAAAUGCUUAGAGAUCAUGCAGAACACCGAUUGCGAAGGCAGCUUACUGAUCUAUAUCUGACGUUGAGGCACGAAAGCGUGGGGAGCAAACAGGAUUAGAUACCCCUGUAGUC